AUUGAACGCUGGCGGCAUGCCUUACACAUGCAAGUCGAACGGCAGCGGACCUUCGGGUGCCGGCGAGUGGCGAACGGGUGAGUAAAGUAUCGGAACGUACCUUUCAGUGGGGGAUAACGUAGCGAAAGUUACGCUAAUACCGCAUAUUCUGUGAGCAGGAAAGCAGGGGAUCGCAAGACCUUGCGCUGGUUGAGCGGCCGAUAUCAGAUUAGCUAGUUGGUGAGGUAAAGGCUGACCAAGGCGACGAUCUGUAGCGGGUUUGAGAGGAUGAUCCGCCACACUGGAACUGAGACACGGUCCAGACUCCUACGGGAGGCAGCAGUGGGGAAUUUUGGACAAUGGGGGCAACCCUGAUCCAGCCAUGCCGCGUGAGUGAAGAAGGCCUUCGGGUUGUAAAGCUCUUUCGGCCGGGAAGAAAUCGCGCCAGUUAAUACCUGGUGUGGAUGACGGUACCGGAAUAAGAAGCACCGGCUAACUACGUGCCAGCAGCCGCGGUAA
rnacentral:rRNA from 1 species